rnacentral:rRNA from 1 species
GAACCGCAUGGUUCAAAAGUGAAAGACGGUCUUGCUGUCACUUAUAGAUGGAUCCGCGCUGCAUUAGCUAGUUGGUAAGGUAACGGCUUACCAAGGCAACGAUGCAUAGCCGACCUGAGAGGGUGAUCGGCCACACUGGAACUGAGACACGGUCCAGACUCCUACGGGAGGCAGCAGUAGGGAAUCUUCCGCAAUGGGCGAAAGCCUGACGGAGCAACGCCGCGUGAGUGAUGAAGGUCUUCGGAUCGUAAAACUCUGUUAUUAGGGAAGAACAUAUGUGUAAGUAACUGUGCACAUCUUGACGGUACCUAAUCAGAAAGCCACGGCUAACUACGUGCCAGCAGCCGCGGUAAUACGUAGGUGGCAAGCGUUAUCCGGAAUUAUUGGGCGUAAAGCGCGCGUAGGCGGUUUUUUAAGUCUGAUGUGAAAGCCCACGGCUCAACCGUGGAGGGUCAUUGGAAACUGGAAAACUUGAGUGCAGAAGAGGAAAGUGGAAUUCCAUGUGUAGCGGUGAAAUGCGCAGAGAUAUGGAGGAACACCAGUGGCGAAGGCGACUUUCUGGUCUGUAACUGACGCUGAUGUGCGAAAGCGUGGGGAUCAAACAGGAUUAGAUACCCUGGUAGUCCACGCCGUAAACGAUGAGUGCUAAGUGUUAGGGGGUUUCCGCCCCUUAGUGCUGCAGCUAACGCAUUAAGCACUCCGCCUGGGGAGUACGACCGCAAGGUUGAAACUCAAAGGAAUUGACGGGGACCCGCACAAGCGGUGGAGCAUGUGGUUUAAUUCGAAGCAACGCGAAGAACCUUACCAAAUCUUGACAUCCUUUGACAACUCUAGAGAUAGAGCCUUCCCCUUCGGGGGACAAAGUGACAGGUGGUGCAUGGUUGUCGUCAGCUCGUGUCGUGAGAUGUUGGGUUAAGUCCCGCAACGAGCGCAACCCUUAAGCUUAGUUGCCAUCAUUAAGUUGGGCACUCUAAGUUGACUGCCGGUGACAAACCGGAGGAAGGUGGGGAUGACGUCAAAUCAUCAUGCCCCUUAUGAUUUGGGCUACACACGUGCUACAAUGGACAAUACAAAGGGCAGCGAAACCGCGAGGUCAAGCAAAUCCCAUAAAGUUGUUCUCAGUUCGGAUUGUAGUCUGCAACUCGACUACAUGAAGCUGGAAUCGCUAGUAAUCGUAGAUCAGCAUGCUACGGUGAAUACGUUCCCGGGUCUUGUACACACCGCCCGUCACACCACGAGAGUUUGUAACACCCGAAGCCGGUGGAGUAACCUUUUAGGAGCUAGCCGUCGAAGGUGGGACAAAUGAUUGGGGUGAAGUCGUAACAAGGUAGCCGUAUCGGAAGGUGCGGCUGGAUCACCU